AGAGUUUGAUCCUGGCUCAGGACGAACGCUGGCGGCGUGCCUAAUACAUGCAAGUCGAGCGGACGAAUCGAAAGCUUGCUUUUGAUUCGUUAGCGGCGGACGGGUGAGUAACACGUGGGCAACCUGCCCUGUAGACGGGGAUAACACCGAGAAAUCGGUGCUAAUACCGGAUAACACGAAAUGUCGCAUGACGUUUCGUUGAAAGACGGCGCAAGCUGUCGCUACAGGAUGGGCCCGCGGCGCAUUAGCUAGUUGGUGAGGUAACGGCUCACCAAGGCGACGAUGCGUAGCCGACCUGAGAGGGUGAUCGGCCACACUGGGACUGAGACACGGCCCAGACUCCUACGGGAGGCAGCAGUAGGGAAUCUUCCGCAAUGGACGAAAGUCUGACGGAGCAACGCCGCGUGAGCGAAGAAGGCCUUCGGGUCGUAAAGCUCUGUUGUUAGGGAAGAACAAGUAACGCAGUAACUGGCGUUACCGUGACGGUACCUAACGAGAAAGCCACGGCUAACUACGUGCCAGCAGCCGCGGUAAUACGUAGGUGGCAAGCGUUGUCCGGAAUUAUUGGGCGUAAAGCGCGCGCAGGCGGUUCCUUAAGUCUGAUGUGAAAGCCCACGGCUCAACCGUGGAGGGUCAUUGGAAACUGGGGGGACUUGAGUGCAGAAGAGGAGAGCGGAAUUCCACGUGUAGCGGUGAAAUGCGUAGAGAUGUGGAGGAACACCAGUGGCGAAGGCGGCUCUCUGGUCUGUAACUGACGCUGAGGCGCGAAAGCGUGGGGAGCAAACAGGAUUAGAUACCCU
rnacentral:rRNA from 1 species